rnacentral:lncRNA from 1 species
CUAACACAGGCUGGAUGUUGAAUUGCCUAUAUUUCAAUCUGAACAUGGGAUGAGAAUGAUGGCUGUGCAUUAAAUGAACAACUCAAUAUGUGAUGCCAUGGAGAAGUACAAGGAGCUCAUACAAGAGAACAAUUCCUACACAUCAGGCACUUCCAGCUCCUGCGUGAACGGACUCCAUAGAAGAACAAUAUAAAGAUUUUGCUGAAUGAGAACAAAAAACUGAUGGAGCAGACUGUUCUGCCAGCAUCCUGUGUGGAGGCAAAGAGGUUCUGUGAAGAGGCCGGAAUGAACAUCUGUGUCCCCAGAGCCAAACAGUUGCAGGUCCAGCAAGUAUCGGCAUAGCAAGAUUUCCUGAAGUGGAAAUGAGUACAGACCACAGCAGCACAGCCUGCUUGACUGUAAGAGACUUGUACAUAACAUAGCUCCCACUAAUUCUUCAUUCAACAGAAAACCUGCUGGAUAAAAGCUCUGUACAGCAAAAGGACACAAAAGCACUUGUAAAGUUCAAUUUUAACGGUAUUAGGGGCAAACCUACCAAUCUGCAUUGAAAUCCUUUGGAGCACAUUAAAGGAAUGGAGUACAUGGAGGUAAGGAGGAGGCUUCUCUAUAAAAUCCAUGAGUUUAUAUUCCUUCUUUGUCCUUUGUGAAUUGUGAAAGCCCACUGAAAGGUUAUGUCACUCACUGUGUCUUCUCCAAGCUUGUUUUCCACAUUGCCUGCUCCCAUUUCUUUCCAGCUACCUUGGCACAGUACAACUUCACCUUGGAGUCUGGCUUGGAUUGUAUUCACUGAGAAAUUGAGUUGCA